CGUAGUGUUGUCAAGUGUUGUUUAUUUUUCAUGCAAUAACAAUUCAAAAUAUUUUCAUGCAAAUUAAUUAAUUAUACUAAUUAUCCAAAUUCAACAUUCCGGCCACCAAAAGAGAAUUCUUUUAAAUGCAUGAAACUAUGUGAUCGACGUGUAAACUUAACUUGACUUGACGCUCCAAAUGUCAACAACUGUUGUUUACUAUUUCCCACGUGUAUCCUUCUUCCGCUCUAACCUCUCUGUUCGAUUGGAUUGGGUAGUAACGCGAUUCUGCUGACGGCUCGAACAAUUUCUUUUCCUGUGCCCACUCGUAAAGUUACUACUCUCACUACACCGUCCUUUCCUGGGUGCAAAGCUGUUAUUCGCCCUUUUGGCCAAACUGCAGGUGGGGUAUUGUCUUCUUUCACGAUCACUAAUUGGUUCACUUCUAGCUUCACCGGUGUAUUGUUCGCGUGCUUUGCCCUGGCCUGUAGCUGCUGUAGAUAUUCUGGGUACCACCGUGCCCAAAUCUCUUGCAUCUGCCUUUGCACUAAUUGGUACUCCUUCAAACGGUUCGGAGAAAUCUUGCUAAGAUCUACUUGUGGUACCGCCUGCAUGCUACUCCCUAUCAAGAAAUGGCCCGGGGUUAGUGCUUCCAAAUCUGUUGGCUCAUCUGAUAUUGGUAUCAAUGGACGCGAAUUUAAACAAAGCUCAACUUGUGCCAGAAGGGUAAGCAUAUUUUCUUGCGUCACACUUCUAACUCCUAUCGUCUUUAACAGAUGCCUUUUAGCGGACUUAACUGCCGCUUCCCAAAGUCCUCCAAAAUGAGGCGCACGCGGGGGGAUAAACUUCCAUACCAGUUCGUUCUCUGCGCACCAAUCAAAGAUCGCUCUCCUAUCACCCUCAUCGAUUUUCAGCAUCCUAUAGAUGCGAUGCAACUCGUGUGCCGCGCCCUUGAACGUCGUUGCAUUGUCCGAAUGCAAUUCGGCUACUUUACCACGUCUCGCGACAAAGCGACGUAGUGCUGAUAGAAAAGCAGUCGAUGUGAGAUCACUCACCAGCUCGAUAUGGACUGCCCUUGUCGCGAAACAUACGAAUAUCGCGAUGUAUGCCUUCGUUGGGCUUCGGUUGCGGACGGUCGACUUUAACAAAAACGGCCCACAGUAGUCGACGCCGCUGACGGCAAACGGUCGCGUUGGUGUCACUCGUGACUUAGGCAAAUCAGCUACCGCCUGUUUCACCAGCGUUGGCUUGUUCCGAAAGCAUGUGUGGCAUCGAUGGUACACGCUCUUUGCUAAGUUUCGGCCCCCAAUCAACCAAAACUUCUGCCGGAUUGUUGCUAACAUGAAUUGUGGCCCCGCGUGCAUCUUUUGAUGAUGAGUGUUCUCGACCAGUAGUGUCGACAGCCGAUGUGAUGCAGCGAGGACAAUCGGAUGUUUGGUUGACUCUGGUAUGUUGGCGUUACCAAGCCGGCCACCGACGCGUAACACACCCUUUGGGUCGAGGUCGUCCAUCUCCUCCGCAAACGAAUCAUGUUGUGCCCGUUGACACAACCUCAGUUCCGCAUCCUGCAACUCCGCCGCUGUAAGCGGUGGAACGGAACUCAAUAGCGUCUUCAUGUCCGUAUUCCGCUUGACGCUGUUGAUCGACGUUGACUUGCUCGCCCUGAGGUUGGAGAGGAUUCGCAAGCAAUAAGCAACAACCCUUCGCAACUUGCCGUACGAGGAAUAACGUGCGAAAAGUGUGUUGCUAAAGUCACACGUCGUAGAGGUGAUGACUAUUUUGGACACCGCUAACCGCUCCUCGAUGUCCGUCUCGUUCUCUUUCGCGAGUACUGGUUCCACCGGCCACUCUUCCUGUCCGUAGGACAACCAACGUGGCCCCUGCCACCAUCGCUCGCACUGCAGUAACUCUUCGGGCCUCAACCCACGCGAUAUAUCAUCCGCCGGGUUAUCGCUACCAGGAACAUGACGCCAGCAUGAAAUUCGGGUCUCCUCUUGUAUUUGCGCCACCCUGUUGGCGACGAACGGCUUCCAUCGACGAGGUGAUGAUUUGAGCCAAUGCAUGACGGUCAUGGAAUCUGUCCAACAGAUAACCGUCGACGAUGAAACGUUGAGUGCUCGAAUCACCUUCUGGAACAGGUGUACUGCUAGCCGUGCUGCACACAGUUCUAAUCUGGCGAUGGAAUGUGUGUUUGAGAGGGACACCACCUUGGACUUAGCCGCUAGCAAUCUAACCGUCGAGCCCCGUGUCGAAUCCGAGCGUACGUAACAACAUGCUCCAUAGGCUCCUUGAGAUGCAUCCGCGAAGAGAUGCAGCUGCAGCCUUUCCGGAUUGCUAUGUGCCACCAAUCGAGGUACUCGCAGUUCGCGUAACACAUAGAGCGUUGAGUGGAACCUCCUCCACUCUUCCUGAAUCUCCGCUGGUAGCGGACGAUUCCAGUCCAGCGUCUUCCCCUCGUGCUUCAAUCCCCAUAGGCGUUGCAGGAACAUCUUGGCGAGUAUCACCGUUGGUCCCAACAGACCAAGAGGAUCGAAGAUUCUGGCCGUGUAUGAUAACACCAGGCAUCGUGUCAGCUCUUCUGCAGGGGUUGGCAAAUCCACCCGAAACCGAAACAUAUCGUUGGAUGGUUCCCAAACCAAGCCCAGUGUUGAGACUGCUUGGUCUUCUUGCCAGUCUAGAACUGAUUUGAUGGCCAAAUCGGCGCUUGGAACACCAUCAAGCGCAGCCGGUAUGUUCGACGCCCAUUUCUUUAGUGAGAAGCCCGCUGAUUCCAACAUCGAUGAUAUCUGUUUACGUGUCUCGAUGGCUUCUGAAACACUUGCUGCACCAGUCAGCAAGUCAUCCACAUAAAAAUCAUGCAGAACCGGGUCUACGGCUUUGGGGUACUCCUGUUUGUUGUCAUGCGCGAUUUGUUGCAACGUACGAGUGGCCAAGAACGGAGCUGAUGCGGUACCGUAGGUCACCGUUUGUAGCUCAUACGUUGCUAUUGGUUCGGUUGAACGUUCCCGAUAUCGAAUGCGUAGCAGUUUUCGAUCUUUAUCAUAAUGCAGGAUCUGCCUGUACAUCUUCUCCACGUCUGCCACUAAUGCGACAGAAUGCUUCCUGAAUCGCAAGAUGAUUGUGAGCAGAUCAUCUUGUACCGUUGGGCCAAUGAGUAAAGUGUCGUUCAAGGAGUAGCCCGAUGUUGUUUUGCAGGAUGCAUCGAAAACAACACGAACCUUGGUUGAAGAACACGACUCCUUAAUCACGGCAUGAUGAGGGAUGUAGCAGUGCGGCUCACUAUCGUCGACAGGUUCGGAUUGGCCUUUAGCCGCCGUUCAACUCCCAACAAACGCCGAUCUGCUAUAUCCCUUGACAAACCCAGGACUUUCUCCGGUUUGGCAUUUCGCGGCAACGAUACGACAUAGCGACCUUGAGCAUUUCGCGUAGUCGUGGA